rnacentral:rRNA from 1 species
UACGUAGGGGGCAAGCGUUGUCCGGAUUUAUUGGCGUAAAGAGCGUGUAGGCGGUUAGGUAGGUCCGUUGUGAAACUCGAGGCUCAACCUCGAGACGCCGAUGGAAACCAUGUGGCGUAGAGUCCGGAAGAGGAGAGUGGGAAUUCCUGGGAUGUAGCGGUGAAAUGACGCAGAUAUCAGGAAGAACACCCGUGGCUAAGGCGGCUCUCUAGUACGGUACUGACGCUGAGACGCGAAAGCGUGGGGAGCGAACAGG